ensembl:snRNA U6 U6 spliceosomal RNA
GUGCUCACUUCAACAACAUAUACGCUAAAAUUGGCAUGAUGCAGAGAAGAUUAGCUUGGCCCUUGUGCAAGGGUGACAUGCAAAUUCGUGAAGCAUUCCAAUUGUUU